AAAGUAAAGGUCUCCAUUGUAAAUUCAUGUAGAAUAACGUUAUUUGUAAGACAUAUAGAAGAAGUUAUGAUUAUUUCUAACACAAAUUUGGUUACAGCACUUUGUUAACAGCUCCAGUUUGUGACACUGUAUGCACUGCAGCAAUGUUUCUCAAUGGCAGACCAUGGAUGCUGAUUUCAGAAGGAACUCGACUAACCUCAAGCCUGCACUGAAUAUUCCUGCCACAAAAAGACCUGGGAAACCAACAUAGUCUCCUAGUGAGUCCAUGACAUACAGAGGAAACAGUUGGUCUGGUUUACUCAGAACCUAAUAAAAUAUAAAUACAUACAUUAUUUAACUAAAAACUAUAUAUUUCAAGAGUCACCUCUCACAUUCAUGUUUACAUACAAUAUAGGUCAUGGCAAAAUAAAUUAAUCAGUCCAUCAAUCAAUCAUGUAACAAAUUACUAUUCAAUUUCAUUUAAAAGAUGAACUAUACCCAAGAGUUUUACCAUGAAAUUCAAUUUCAUGUUUAUAUAACCUAAAACAACUUGAGAGACUGAUUGUGCAUCAUGAACUAGAAAGCAGCAGGAAGGAAUUGGAUGUAGUUUAAUUCUAAUAACUAAGCUUAGACUAAGUAGUAGUUAGCAGUUUUAGUCUGGAGGCCCCAGGUUUAAAUCUUGGUCAAAAGACCAGCUGUGCUGACAGGUUUCUUUUAGUUUUCCUAAGUUUCUAUAGGAAAAUGCUGGAAUAGGACAUGACUGCUUCCUUCCACAUCCUUUCUAAUUCAUCAUACAUGCUAUCAUGCUGUCAUUCACUGCUGCCUAAAUCAAGCAUUUGAAAAAUGUCACUAGAAACUAAUCAAUUAGUCAUUUGUUUGGAAUGAGGAAAAACACAAAAUGUCUCACUCCUGCCAGUGUUUUGGUUUAUAUUAAAAUCAGGUAGGCCCAUUGCUCAAACAUGAAGCAGCAGUGAAACAUUGCCACAACAUUUGAUGUCACUUUAAUUCCAGUAUAUUAAUGACUGAGUGAGAGAUGAAACCCACACAUGGACUGACAUGCCCCUGGAGCAGUGACAGAUGAGCAUGGAGCAUCAGUGGAUUAGUGAUUACCAGUGGAAAACUGGUCUUCAUACAGAAUAAUACAUUUGAGUGUCGUUUAGUGAAUUCAAUAAUAGAGAUAAUACAUAUUACAUGUCCAUCUUCACACAACAAAAAGCUGUAUACUUCACAACUUCACUCAUUUCACUUCACACUUCUUAUUUGUUUAUAGUUUACUUAAUGAUGCUAAAUUCAGUAGCUCAAAAUAACAUCAAAUGAGAGAAUGACAGUAAAUAAUGAAUUGGCAAGGAUGUGAAAGGAAGCUGUCAUGAGCUAAUUUAAGGUGCAUUCCUGGAAUUUGACUGGAGAGACAUUCGGUGUUCACACUAUUGUGAUUUGUGCUAUGACAUGUUCUACAUCCUUGACUUGGAGAUAUGAAGGAUCUAUAAAAUGUAAAUAAGUAAAUAAAUAAAUAAAUUCAGUUUUAUUCUA